rnacentral:rRNA from 1 species
CGGAUCACAUUAUGUGACAUAUCAUUCAAGUUUCUGACCUAUCAGCUUUAGACGGUAGGGUAUUGGCCUACCGUGGCUAUGACGGGUAACGGGGAAUUAGGGUUCGAUUCCGGAGAGGGAGCCUGAGAAACGGCUACCACAUCUAAGGAAGGCAGCAGGCGCGCAAAUUACCCAAUCCUAAUACAGGGAGGUAGUGACAAGAAAUAACAAUACAGAACCUUACGGUUUUGUAAUUGGAAUGAGUUAAGUAUAAACCCCUUAACAAGUAUCAAUUGGAGGGCAAGUCUGGUGCCAGCAGCCGCGGUAAUUCCAGCUCCAAUAGCGUAUAUUAAAGUUGUUGCAGUUAAAAAGCUCGUAGUUAAUCUUCUGUUAAUUUUUAUAUAUAAUAUCACGAUAUUUAUAUAAUAUUAACAUAAUUCAUAUUACUUUUUAGUAUAUGAAACUUUACUUUGAGAAAAUUAGAGUGCUUAAAGCAGGCUAUUGCCUUGAAUACUCCAGCAUGGAAUAAUAUUAAGGAUUUUUAUUCUUCUUAUUGGUUCUAGAAUAAAAAUGAUGAUUAAUAGGGACAGUUGGGGGCAUUUGUAUUUAACAGUCAGAGGUGAAAUUCUUAGAUUUGUUAAAGAC